rnacentral:lncRNA from 1 species
AUAACUCUAGUAAAUAUAUAUAUAUGUUAUUAAAUUUUAUAAUUUAACAAUUUUUUUUGUGAAAAUGACUGAUAUUAAUAUUAACAGGCUUAAAAGGAGUAGCUAAAAGGCCACCAAAACAGACAAAAAAGAAAAUCACAACUGUCCAAUAUAAAAGAAAAUUAAAAACUACGCCUAGAAAGUAACGAAACAUCAAUAAGCAAAAAAUGCGUGAGCCUGCAACAAAACUUUUCAAUCUCCAUUAUCAGCCACAGCAGGGCUCCAUUUCCUUCGUAUUAUCGAUCAGAGACCCAGAGCCAGCAACGCUUUGCAAACAAUAUUAGAGAUUCAAUGAACCUUCUCUAACUCAAAGCGAACAUAUGGAACUUAGGUCCGUUGGCACCAUCGUAACCAGUCUUCCUCCACCACCAGUCGCACAGUCUCCGGUAUUCCAUUAACCCAGGCCCCACACACUUUCCGAUGUCGACUUUCCACUGCCAAAAUAUGGGCUACAGCGUUAAGCGGACGGUUCACAAACUUGUAAGAGACUUCAUCAAAGCCCUGGCGCAAUCUAUGAAUAUUAUGAACAAUCGACCUAAUAAUCGAUCUAUCUUCCUCAUUUUUAAUCAGUUUUUUAAUGACUGUCAGGGAGUCCCCUUCCACAAUCAACCGUUGAAAGCCCUUCAAUUUUGCGAGGAUCAGCGCUCUUUCACAAGCUCGUGCUUCCGCCACGAAUGCGUCAUCCACACCUUCCACCAGAUAAGUAACUGCUUCUAUAACUUCCCCUCUGUGAUUUCUGGCUAAGAUUGCUAUUGUCGCAAAAUUAUUUCCUGAAAUAUACGACGCAUCAAAAUUAAUUUUAAUAAAACCAUAGUCAGGAGGCCUCCAGACUUCAUUUCUCAUAAGAGCAGUAGAAUCACAUAGAUUCUCACGAACAAGCCAUGGAUCUCGCUCAUAGCCCCUGAUAAAUCCCAAUAGUUGUGGCAUAGAAAGCUUAAUCCCCUCAUGAACCAACUUAUUUCUAUGAAACCAGAAACACCAAAGAGUUAAAGCAAUAAACCUUUUUUUCGACCUUCUGCUUCAAGAUAUGUUUUAACAAAAUUAGCCUUAUAAUCCAGGGAAUCGUCCAAAGGGGGAAUUUGAACUUGCAACGAUGUCCAUAUAUUUCGAAGGACCCUACAAGACCCCAACAAAUGCGCUGUGGUUUCUAGAUCUUCCUUACACAGUGGGCAUACAGCCUCCUCACAUAGUGUUCGGCGUGCCAAGUUCCCAUAGUGUGGCACCAUGUUAUUGAACAAUCUCCAAACAUGUAUUUUUAUUUUCUCUGGAAUAUGCAAAGCCCAGAUAUCCAUGUAAAAACUUUUGUAUUAUUCAUUUGUAGAGGACAUGUGUAGAUUGCUCUGUAAAUAAUCUGUAAUAAGAACUCGAUACCCACUCCUGACAGUAUACUCACCUGAGCCUUCAUACUUCCAUACCAACAUAUUCUCUGGUCGGCUUUCAGAGAUGGGAAUGUCAAAGAUUCGAUUAGCAGUGUUAUCAUCCACUAGAUUGUGAAUCAACUCUCUAUUCCAGGUACUGUCUUCUUCAUUCAUUAACUAAUUCACUGUUGACCAAGGAGGCUUAAUUUCAAUAACUGGGAUUCUGUUAUUCUCUCUUCCAGGCAGCCAGGGGUCAUUCCAAAUGUUGAUACUUGCACCAUUUCCUACACGCCACAAGAUUCCAUCACUGAUCAGGUCCCGCGCACUACAAAUACUUCUCCAAGUAAAUGAAGGGUAAGAACCAACCUUUGCUGUUAGUAUAGUGGAAAGAGGGAAAUAACGGGCUUUUAAAACCUUGGCUAAUAAACAAUGGGGCUAGGUUAAAAUACGCCACACCUGCUUCGUUAAAAGGGCCUUAUUAAACAAGAAUAAAUUUUUAAACCCCAGCUCUCUAAAACUUUUCGGUUUAUACAGAACAUCCCACGAACUCCAAUGAAUCCCCUUCGAUGUUUUAUUAUUCGUCCACCAGAAUCGAUUCAUUAUUCCUUCCAAUGUUUUACAUAAUGACUUUGGCAAUAAAAAACACUGCAUAGCAUAAAUUGAAGUUGACUGCAAAACUGAUUUAAUGAAAACCUCCUUAUCCCCCAUUGAAAGAUAACGCAUACUCCACCCCUCCACCCAUUUUCUGAAUCGGUCCACAAAGUUAGCAAAAGCCCACUUUUUCCUCCUACCCACCAUCAUAGGCAAACCGAGAUACUUUUCAGGAUUUGAGGCCAGACGUACCCUUAAUAAAUUAACAAUAUCCUUCUGAACACUAGAGACGACAUUUGUAGCGAAAUAAAUGAGGGAUUUUUCAAAAUUCACUCUCUGCCCCGAGACCGUCUCAUAUUCAUGGAUAAUAGCCCGAACCACUUCAGCUCCUUCACAGGAGGCAUCACCAAAAAGAAUGCAAUCAUCUGCAAAAAAUAAGUGGUUGACCGAAAACUUCUCUCUACCUAUAGGUGCCCCCAUCAUCAUCCAUUUAGUUUUAGCUUCCUGAAUGAGCAGCGAAAACCCUUCAGCACAAAUCAAGAAUAAAUAAGGACUAAGAGGGUCUCCUUGUCUGAGUCCUCUCGAUGGUGUGAACCAGUCCCCGCUAGCUCCAUUAAUACUAAUAGAGUACGUGACAGAGCAUACACAACGCAUGACAAGAACGAUCCAAUCCUCAUGAAAACCCAGGUGCUUCAUCAUACCUGCCAAAAAAUCCCAUUCCACACGAUCAUACGAUUUACUCAUAUCUAGUUUAAACGCAAAGUUGUCUUUCUUACCUCUCUUUUUCAUUUUUAGGGAAUGAAGUAUCUCAUAAGCAAUCAGUACAUUAUCAGAUAUAAGCCUACCUGGAAUAAAGGCCUUUUGAGCUUCAUUAAUACAAGACCCCAGUGUUUCGCUCAUCCUCAAUACCAACACUUUUGCUAUAAUUUUGUAAAUGACAUUACAAAGCCUGAUAGGCCUAAAAUGAGUCAUGUUACUCGAUUUUUCAACCUUUGGAAUCAGGAUAAUGCGCGUUUUGUUAAUAACACUCAAAUCCUCUUGUCCCUGUAGAACGGAUAAACAAAAGCGGGUAACCUCAGGCCCAACAAUGUGCCAAUAACGCUGAAAGAAGAGGGCCAGAAACCCAUCCAACCUAGGGGCUUUCAAAGGCGUCAAGGAUUUGACUGCAUAGACAAUGUCCUCCUCCGUAAAUUGUCUUAAGAGCCUUUCAUUCAUACUACUAGUAACUUUUUCCUCUACUAAGCUAAACAAAUGCUCAUCCGAACCUGACUCUGAAGCAGAGAAAAGCUUACCAAAAUAGUCAGAAGCUACCUGGAGGAACUCCUCAGUGGAAUUAGUACUUCUCCCAGCUCCAUCUUCUAGUUCAGAAAUUCUACAACGAAAGUGACGUUGGACAGCUACCUUGUGAAAAAAGCUGGUAUUACGAUCCCCAUUCUUUAGCCAAUUCACCCACGCACGCUGCUCCUAAAAUAAUUCCUCCUUUUCAGCUUCCAACUUAACCCCCAAUUGGACCUCUAUAAUCUCAGCUAGAACUUCAUCUGACGGAUCUUGAGUGUAAAGAUUCAUUAAUCUGUCUUCUAAACGGAACCGAUUCCUCCGCUCCUUAAUACUAUUCACCUUGCUCCAUUUUAGUAUUUGAGAACCCAUUUUCUCCAACUUACUCAGUACACCUCCAGAUUUUUUUCCCAUCAUCUCCUAAUCAUGCCUUCAAAUGAGCCCUCUAAACACCACUUAGCCUCAAAUCGAAAAGACUUCUCAUACUUAUUUUGACGGUUCUAUACUCCCCCUAGAGUAUCCAGAAGAAUAGGGCAAUGGUCAGAAAACGAGUGACUCAAAUGUUCCAGACGAUAUCCAGGAAAAGUAUUCAUCCAGCUCAAUGAAGCAACACCACGAUCCAGACGUUCCCUUAGAUUAGUCGAUGCAUAUCGUCCUCGUUCCCAUGUGAACCAUCUGCCAACAAAGCCUAAAUCAUUAAGGCAACAAUCUUCGAGAACCCCGCGAAAAUCCCUCAUUUGUCCAAUUGGUCUGAGGCGACCACCCUUAUUCUCAAAGGAAUCCAUAAUUUCGUUGAAAUCCCCCAUCACCACCCAAGGCAUAUCCUGAUCUUGAUCUUGAUGCAACUGGCGUAGCAAAUUCCGCGAAUCACCUCUGCGUCUUCCAUCUGGAUGCCCAUAGAAACCAGCGAACCUCCAAACAUUUCCACACUCAUUAUCAUGUACCUCUGCGUCUUUCAAAUAUUUCCUUUCCAACCUAACGACAAACCCCCUUUCGUACCAACUGGACCAAUAUCGAUGUUAUUCUCAAAACCGUACUUUAAUCUUACCAACUCCAUUUUCUUUGAACAUAAUUUCAUCUUUAUAAGAAACAAAAUUCGGGGAUUAAUGGCUCUUAACUUGUUUUUUAGCCUUAUAACUGUUCGUGGUCUCCCCAAACCACGAACGUUCCAACUUAGGAUUUUCAUCGAGCCCGGUUGCUCUGAUUUUCAGAGCUAGCCGAAACAUUCAUAGAUCCAGAUCCCACAUUAGCAUCCAACAGAACACGUGACCUAUCCACUAUUCGCUGUCGCUUUUUCCCCUCAGACAACUCUAAUGACUCAUUUUUCUCCUCCAAAUCCAACUCCAUUUCCCCCUGAACGAUCCCAUUUGCAGUCAAAUUAUCUAUACACCCAUCUCGCUUCUGAACAAUUCUACCACUGCCUUGAAUUGGAUCAGGACCUAAAGGAAUUAGAUUAGGAUUUAAGUUCCUACCAGAAUCCCUUGCAUUACCAUACAUGACGCCUGCCAAAUUUUCCUCACUAUACGGAGAUCCAUCUAUUGCCCGCAGCCACCUACUUAUCGCCACAUUUCGACGCCUGACCACAGCACGCAGCGAUAAAUCCCAGCCAAAGACUAUUUUUGACGGUUCAAUAGUCAGUCUAAUAGGGCAGUAACUUUCCCCGUGCCCGAGUUUUCCGCAAAUAAAGCAAAAUAAACUUAAUUUCUCAUACUUAAAUCUAGCAUAAACCACCAUAGAUUUCCCUAUCAAAACUUUCUUUUUUCACUUCAACAGGGCAGCAACAUUUAAACAGAUACGAAUACGCAUAUAAUGUUGAAUUCCCAAAGUCGGGAUGUGUAACACCCCUUAACCCCGAACCGUCGCCGGAACAGAAUUACGAGGCAUUACCGGACGUAUCGAACGAUUUACAACAAUUCUUAAAUAAAUAACCAAUAUAUUAAAAUAAUUCAUAAAAUUUAUUAAUUUGUUUACCAAAUGACUUCAUUUUUUUUUAUAAAAAUUUCGGCAGCAUUUCUGCUUAUUUUUACAUAAACCCCCCUGCAAAUUAAAACCAUAUAGUUCCCAAAUAUCAUCAAUUCAACCAAUUCAUUUCACAUUCACAUUUUCUAUUCUAAAUACUUCUAAUCAAACUCAAUCUACACAAUAUCAAUUUAAAAUUUAACAAUGUACUAAUUAGAUAAAAUAGAUAGACUUCUUUCAUUAAAAUCCAUAAACUUUUAAUACUAACAUUUUUAACCAUUAUAUAAUAAAACAUAAUAACCUUUAUACACAAUCUAUGUACAUGCCACCUUUACCAAAGGAAAAAUACAUCACCAAGUUUUGCCGAAGCCGGGAUUAAUCUGGAUGCUGAACCGGGACCAUUGACUUCUAUUGACCUGCGCACGGAAACAACCGUACGCUGAGUAAUCCAUACUCAGUGGUAUUACCAUAAUUCAAAUUAUAACAAUAAUGUACAUGUAAUGCAUAAAUCGUAUAUACAAUUUAAAUUAAAUAUUUCAACAAUAGCAAUUCAUCAACCAAUAUCGUAUAUCCACAAUUUGAGUUUGAAUAAUUCACGAACCUUAGGUUCAUUUCUCAAUCUUAUUUCACAUUUCAAUUCACAAUUCAACUUUUUCAUAUCAUUUCAAUAGCUCGUUUGACCAACUCGUUCGGUUUAUCAUUUCAUCAUUUACCCUAUUAACAAAACUCGGACUUUGGCGGAUACACGGAUCCAACCAAACACACCAGAAUGGCACCCAGUGCCUCAUCGGAUAGUUCGAAGCAAUAGUUGACACCCAGUGUCUCAUCAGCAAAGCCGAAGAAAGUUGGUACCCAGUACCUCAUCGAAUCUAUCCGAAGAAAUAUAGUGACACCCAGUGUCUCAUCGACUCGAGGUCGAAGUAUCCCUGAACUCUUCCAAUCCUAUGGCAUGCCAACUAUAUCCGACUCAGCCCGACUAGUUAAUAGGGUAUUUAAAUCACAUAUAUUCUCAAUUCAAUUACAAUUUUUCACAUUUUCAAUUCAAUCAUUUUUCCACCUUUCAAUCAAUAAUUAUUUCACAACUUCACACAUUUUCACAACUCAAUACAUUUCCAUACAACUUAAUACCAUUCACAAUUCGAUUCAAAUUCAUUUCCCGCUUUCAAUCAACAAACAAUUUAAAUAUUAUUUCAUAUCAACUAUUCAAUUUAAUUCCCACUCAUAAUAAUAAUAAUAAUACUAAUAAUAAUACUAAUACUAAUAUUAAUACUUACCUCACAUUUCAUUUACUAGACACAUAAAUUAAAAUUUAACAUUAAAAAAAUAAAUAAUUUGAAUUAUAGUAAUACAAACCGUAAUUUUCUCGAGUUUACUCCUCGAUAAUCUUCUCUUUUCCCUUCCGUGCCGACGCUUCUGGUUCUUUGCUAGCUACGAAAAUGAUAAUAAUUUAUACUAUUAAUUUCAGCACUAAUUAUGAUAAUAAUUAAAUUUCUAUUCAAUUUCUUCCUUAUUCUCAAUUUAAUCCUAACUAAAUUCACUUACUUUCCUAAUUCAAUUCACACUCUAUUUCUAUUCAAAUUUCAUCCAAACUAAAAUUUAACUAUCAAAAUUUCAGCAUAUUUUGGUAAUUUUGAAUUUCCCUCAAUUUAGUCCCUAAAACAUAAAACUUAUAGUUUCUUUUAUAAUUUAAUCCCUUUUUCAAUUCUAACUUAAAAUUCCUUCAAGUUAAUCCCUAAUUCAUCUCUUUUGUUCAACAUAAACUAUACUUGAAAACCUAUGAACUUACAAAAUAUCAACUUAAUUCCAUCAAAACUUUGUUUUAAAGCUUUUAGAACAUUAGAAUUAAGAGGAAAGGGCUAAUUUGACUUACCAAAUUAAAUUCAAGCUUCAAAAACCAUAUUUUCCCUUUUUCUUUUUCUUUCUUUCUUUCUCCCCUGUUUCGUCUCUUUCUCUGUUCCUUUGUUCUUUCUAUUCUGUUUCUUUUCUGUUUUGUUUCUUUCUUUUUCUUUUUAUUUCCUUUUAUUUAAUUACUUUAAUAUAAUAAUAAUUAAAACAAAUAUCUACUUAGUAAUUAAUAAAAAUAUUAAAAAUGUAUGUAUUUUAUUAAUACACUUGUAUUAAAUUAUCACCAUACAUUUUUCUUUAUUUAAUUUAUUUCUUAAUAUAAUAUUUAUAAUGUAAUUAAUUUAAUAUUAUACUUUAUAAUUAAUUUAUAUAUUUAUAUAAAUAAUAAUAUAAAAAUCUAAGAUUUUUACAAUGUUAUGCCGCCUCAACUUCCAAAUGUGGCUUAAUUGCCCAUUUGGUCCCUAUUAUUUUCCUUUAAUCUAUAAUUAUGCUUUCACUCUUUAUUCAAUUUAAUCCUUUUUACUAAUUACUCAUAAUUAAACUAAAUUCACCUAUCUAAAACUUAAUUAAACACACAACUAGUCUCGUAAAUAUUUCUAAUAAUUAUUUUCGGACUCAAUUUACUAGGACGGAGGCCCGAUAUUAUACUUUUCCGAUGCCCAUGAAUUUUGGGUCAUUACAUUUCUCCCCCUCUUAAUAAAUUUCGUCCUCGAAAUUUACCUGAGAAGAGAUGAGGAUAUUGUGCUCUCAUUGCCUCUUCCGGUUCCCAAGUUGCUUCUUCCACACUAUGGCUUCUCCAUAAAACUUUUACUAAAGGAACCCGUUUAUUUCUUAAUUCUUUCACUUCUCGUGCUAAUAUUUGAACUGGU